UUUUAAAAAUUUUAUCCAUUUGUAUUGUUAAAAACUGGCAUGGCUAAUAAUCAAGCAAUGAUAUGUGGCAUACCACGUGUACAUCAUGCUAACAUACAAUGACAAAUUUUUAACAACAACAAUGGAUAAUUUUUUUAAUA
rfam:Gossypium hirsutum cultivar TM-1 chromosome 5, whole genome shotgun sequence